rnacentral:sRNA from 1 species
GAUCAUGCAUUCACGCCACUCACGGUGAACCGGCGGCCGGCCGAUCGGCGGAGGAUGGCGGCCGCGGCGGGGGACUCGUCGGAGCCGAAGGCGAGCAUCGGCGCGGGCAGCUGCUGGUCGCCACCAUCCACCUCGGUCUCGGAAUCGGUUUUAUUUUCGCCCACCCAUUUGCCUUCCACUGUUUAGGGAAAAGAAGAGCCUUGAUCUCGCCAUGUUGCAUUUGCUUUCCUUCAUCCAGUGGUUAUCUGCAUGAAGUAACUUCGAUGCUUACAGAACGAGCACUUCGUGAUUGUUCGUAUGGAAGCUAUGUUAACACAUCAACCUGCAAUUGCGUGCAACAGUGGUGGUCAUGGAAGUUGUAAAUGCAUUAAUGGGGUUUCUCUAUGAGGCCUCCUGGUUAAAUCCUUGAAAGAAUGUCUGGUAAAUGAUCAUAAUAUAACAAUUUUGAUGGGAGGAAAUAAGAACAGAGCAUUGUGGUGCAGGAACAAUUGCUAGCUCCUCAGCUGCUUUAUUCUUAACCUUUACCAUCAGAUGGUUUGAUAGCAUAUAAUUUGACUUAUCACAUACAGUAUGAAAGAAUUUUCCAGGCUAGACAUCAAUUUCCUGAAGUUCUAGACAUAGCUAGAGAGUCAGCAACAACAACAAUCAUUACAAUUCAGUCAGUUCAGCUAUUGUGAGUAAACCAAAUUGCAUGGUACUUAUGGGUCUGUCCAUCUUUCGUACUACUAGGUUGUGUCUAAUCCAGGAUUAGGUUGCUAUAUUUUGGGAUAGAGGGAGUUCGCAUUAAAUCUGGACUUCUAGAUUAUGAAGUUCCGGACGUAACACUUAUCAACUGGAAUGAUUAAAAUACCUAGAGAACUCACUUAUUAAUCUCUAUCUAUCUUCUGUUAUUCUGCCAUGCUGUUAGGACUUAGGAUGGACCAAUAUCAUCUGCUAUUCCUGCACCUGAGCUAGAAUGUCUUAGAAAUGAAUAUGAUACUAGCUUGAGUUUUUUUUAAAAAAACUGUUUGGUUUCCUUCGUGUCCUAUCUUUGUUAUUAUGGGCAUGAAUCCAUAACAUUUCUUGAGUGGCUAUUUCUAAGUGGAGUUCUCUUGCCGCCAAUCUUUUUCCAAUGGAAAGUUGACUAGCUGACAGUUUAUUGUUCUAUGGUAUACUAUUUUGGUAUUUAUACCAUGUUAUUUUAUCCAAAUCUUUUCUUGGAUGUUCCAAUGCCAAAUACUUCUUAUGGUUUUCUAAUUCUAUAUCUGGGACAUCCAGAAUACUCAUACCUUGUUGUACCUGUACGGUCUUAUUAUGGGUAGAUCCCUGCUAUGCUAUUUCACAAUUAAUUUGAUGUUUUGGCCUAUCACUUCAUAUUAUUGUUCGAGACAAAGGACAAUUUGCAAAGAAAUAGUUGGUGUACUAUUGAUAAAUUAAUGCAAUUUAUGUUUCCUCCAUGUAGGUUGCAUAAGAGCACAGUUUUCUGAUAAAAGAUUUUACAAAACUGCAAAAGUUGCAAGUCAGAGACUCGGAGUAUUACUGAACUUUGCUGAUCGUACCACAAUAGAUCUGCUGGCUUUUGCCCUUCAAGACCCAAGAGGGCUAGCUUGAUGGGAGACUAAUCAAGUCCAAGAUUCCUUUUUCACGGAUGGAUGGUCCCAGUUGAGUGGACCUUUUGGUGGGAAGCGGACAAACUAAAGCAGAUGCUAACAAGCUGUUUCGUCAAAGAUUGGUUCCUACCUGUCUUCCCCGCAGGUUAGCAGCAGAAAACAACGGGGCCGCAUUUCGGCACACUGCAUCCAUCAAGGAACUGUUGAGUUUGACUUGCCAGUAGAAGAGCCUACGGAGUUAUUGCAGCUGCAGCUACAACUAGGCAACACCAUUCUAGACCCUCUUCAUUACUGCACAUGCAGGACUGCUCACUAACAUGUGGGACCGAUGGUCAGUGGACAAUGGGACACAUAUUAUUGUUGGCUUGUAAUUGUAGUAAAUGGGUAGCCGAAUAGGCCCUGUAUAGAAUGAUAGAAUAAUUUUUGGGAGUAGAUUACAUGCACGUGAAAAUUUAUUAAACUUCAGUAUAACUAUCGUUUUGUUAUUAUAUAUGGGUUUAGUUUAAUUUUGAUUU